rnacentral:rRNA from 1 species
AACGAACGCUGGCGGCAGGCCUAACACAUGCAAGUCGAGCGCCCCGCAAGGGGAGCGGCGGACGGGUGAGUAACGCGUGGGAACGUACCCUUUGCUACGGAAUAGCCUCGGGAAACUGGGAGUAAUACCGUAUGUGCCCCUUCGGGGGAAAGAUUUAUCGGCAAAGGAUCGGCCCGCGUUGGAUUAGGUAGUUGGUGGGGUAAUGGCCUACCAAGCCGACGAUCCAUAGCUGGUUUGAGAGGAUGAUCAGCCACACUGGGACUGAGACACGGCCCAGACUCCUACGGGAGGCAGCAGUGGGGAAUCUUAGACAAUGGGCGCAAGCCUGAUCUAGCCAUGCCGCGUGAGCGAUGAAGGCCUUAGGGUGUAAAGCUCUUUCAGUGGGGAAGAUAAUGACUGUACCCACAGAAGAAGCCCCGGCUAACUCCGUG